GCUUGACUUUGAAGUUGUAAUUUGUAAAUGUUAAGAAUGAGAAAAUAAGAAAGGAACUCAUUGAUUUUGUAAAAAAGUAACUUUAUAGCUUAUUUUUGUUUUUAAAAGUCUUUGAUCAUACGAGAGAUGUUCUCUAUAAAUUCAUUUAAAAGAUACAUGUGUGUGUAAAAAUAUAUAUAUACAUACAGAGGAGAUACACACACACACACACACACACACGUAUGUAUUUGGUGUUGGUGACAUAUUAGAGAAACUAUCUUCUAUUUAUUUUACAGCUCUCAUGUAAAAAAUACCAAAAGAAAUAGCAACCCUGGGAAUUUUCCAGAGCUAGUUUCCUUUCGGUUGGUGUGGCAUUCCUAAGUGUGCUGUAGGAAAUCAAUGGCCUGGUGCCUCUUCUCUGGAAGCCUCAGGGUGAUCAUUAUCAGCAGAGUGAAGGUUUGGGCCAACAUAAAAGGGAUAGUCCUUCUAAAUUAAAUUUAAGCACUGCUUCAAGCCUUUCAAAAUGACUUUUAACAAAUUCAUAAUAAUUUAUUUUUGCUAUUGGAAGAGACAGAAGAGAAUAAUCAUUGGAAAGGUCUAAGGCUCUGUGGCUCUUUUAGUGCACUGCCAUCUGGUACUUGUUGUACGGGGUGGAACUGGCCCUAGCUGGUUAGAUUCCUACUCUGUAUCAGCCCAGCUCCUUUUUUUUAAGUUGCAAACAGUAGGGGGCAAUGUUGAGCUGCCAUUUUGAGGCCCCAAGAUGCUAGCCUUUCAGGAAAAUGCAUACAAAUGUACCAUUAACUGUCAAGAAUUAUCCCUGUUGCUUCAAGUUAGCUGUAAUCUUCAAGAUUCCAUAACACAGGAAAUCAGUUGUGGGUUAACAAAUUCAACAGCAAUUUAACAUAAAAAGUGCAGUGUUUGGUGCACAUUUGGAUCCUAUAGAAUUAGACUUAAUCUAAACGGCAUUUCUGAAUGUACCAACUUUGCUUCCAGGGAAUAUACUACUCAAAAUUAUUAUCAUUUUAGACAAAUGAUUCUUUGUUAUCUUUAUGCUUUUUUUUGAAUUGUAAAAUCCAUGUGUGUGUUGCGGAAAAAUUUCUUUAAUCAAUGCAUUUUGUCUGUUCUGCAACAUAACAUCGAUCUCUUUUGGCGAGAAAAUAAAAUAAAAAACCUCAGGCAAUGUGUGCUUUACUUUUCC
rnacentral:lncRNA from 1 species